UACGUAGGGACCAAGCGUUGUUCGGAUUUACUGGGCGUAAAGGGCGCGUAGGCGGCGUGGUAAGUCAGCUGUGAAAAUCUCCGAGCUUAACUCGGAACGGUCAGCUGAUACUGCUGUGCUAGAGUACAGAAAAGGGCAAUCGGAAUUCUUGGUGUAGCGGUGAAAUGCGUAGAUAUCAAGAGGAACACCUGAGGCGAAGGCGGGUUGCUAGGCUGAUACUGACGCUGAGGCGCGAAAGCUAGGGUAGCAAACGGG
rnacentral:rRNA from 1 species